rnacentral:lncRNA from 1 species
UAAUUUGCAUAGAAGUAUAACCUGAGGCAGAGCGUAACAUUGCCUCCACUGUUGCAUGGAUCAUGAUGAGAUUUUGCCACACCAGGUCCUCCUAGGCUUUUCAGUUUUACUUUGGCCUCUUGGGAUUCUAAAAGGCACUAGCAUCUGUGAGCAAAGAUGAAAGCCUUGGGCUUCAUAUAGAAGGCAAAACUGGAGUCAUGUGACUCUAAGGCAACACACAGUGCUAUAAUCCAGUAGAACUGUAUAUUUUUUCAUCAAGUCUAACUUGCCCAAAAACAAUUCUCCCUUUGUAUGUAAUCUUAGAGGGUGAGGGAGGCAAAUUUCUUCUUUCAAACCACAAGGGGAGCAUUUAAUUCAACUGAACAAAGUCAAUAAUUCUUCCCCUCUUGACCUAAAGGAACAAUAACAGUUUGCAAAAGCAACCAAUUUAUAAGCCCCGCAGGCUCAGAGCAAAUCUGGCUUUUGCAUUAGUGCCCAGAAACUCACAUUUAAUUAUGGGCCUUGAGAAGGAGUAACUGGCAAAGCCAAAUUAACAGUCUCUUCCUUAGAUUUGCUGUGUGAAGUAAUUCCCAGUUGCUUCUUUCUUGAUUCCAUAUGCAAUUGGAAAUCUAGUGGAAAUGUCCCCUCUUUAACCACAGGACUGAUAGCUUUCCUCCUCUGUCAUGCAUCAGGACUUGUUUCCAUAGCAGCCACUUUGGGGAAUGAAAAGAGUUUACAUGAUACUCUUUCCAUAGGUGAAAUUUUAAGAAUGAAGCAUUAGCGUUCACUUGCACAAGAACAAGGAUUGCUUGGAUACAUUUUCUGUAAAGAUAGGGCCUGUGUUCUCUUUAUAUAACAAGGUGUUAAGCCAUUUAACAAAGGCUCUUCUUACUUCAGGUGGGCUCAGAAUCAAAUCUAUUCCCUGCCAACAUUACAAUCUUAGGCAGAUUCCUCUCUAUUAGCUCACAAAGGUGCAGAGAAUCCUACUCAAGAUAUUGCAUUUAUAUUGUCAUUUCUGCCCUGAAUUACAUAUCAGGGCUGCAAAAGAGAAACCUGUCACAUGUGUGCUAAUUUCUCUAUUAAAGUACCCAUUUUGUAGCCUGAGAUCCAGAAGUAUGAAUAUGGAGGGCUGACUGCAGUCCAGGUACCAUGUAAAUAAUUUUUCAGGGGAUUCCUUAAAUUCCACAAUUUUGAGGGCUCAAAUUUGGAGCCAUCAUUGCAUUGACUGUGAAAUACAACUCAGCAAGAAGUAUUGCUAACUGAAAAACAAACAAAAACCAAGGCUAAAUCAUAGUUUUCACAACUGUCCUGUAAUUUACCUCAAAAUUCGUGGAACUCUUGCUUUCUGUUAAAUUACUCACUGAAUGUGAAAUAUUUUCAUCUAUUCCUGUGGUAAAAUCAUAAUCUCUAUCCUCUUUCAAAUAGAAAUCUCCAGAAUUAAUUUCACCUUAAAGGCCUAUACCUAUAAAUCCUAAAUGACUACCAAUUAUUAUACAUACAUAAAAAUUAUUAUAACCAUUUUUGUGGCCACUAUUUUUAUUCCAUAUUCCA